rnacentral:tRNA from 1 species
CAUUAGAUGGCUGAAAGUAAGCAAUGGUCUCUUAAACCAUCCUAUAGUAAAUUAGCACCUACUUCUAGUGG